CCUACGGGUGGCAGCAGUGAGGAAUAUUGGUCAAUGGACGAGAGUCUGAACCAGCCAAGUAGCGUGAAGGAUGACUGCCCUAUGGGUUGUAAACUUCUUUUAUAUGGGAAUAAAAUGUUCCACGUGUGGGAUUUUGUAUGUACCAUAUGAAUAAGGAUCGGCUAACUCCGUGCCAGCAGCCGCAGUAAUACGGAGGAUCCGAGCGUUAUCCGGAUUUAUUGGGUUUAAAGGGAGCGUAGGUGGAUUGUUAAGUCAGUUGUGAAAGUUUGCGGCUCAACCGUAAAAUUGCAGUUGAAACUGGCAGUCUUGAGUACAGUAGAGGUGGGCGGAAUUCGUGGUGUAGCGGUGAAAUGCUUAGAUAUCACGAAGAACUCCGAUUGCGAAGGCAGUUCACUGGACUGCAACUGACACUGAGGCUCGAAAGUGUGGGUAUCAAACAGGAUUCGAUACCCGGGUAGUC
rnacentral:rRNA from 1 species